AGUGAACGCUGGCGGUAGGCCUAACACAUGCAAGUCGAACGGCAGCACAGUAAGAGCUUGCUCUUACGGGUGGCGAGUGGCGGACGGGUGAGGAAUACAUCGGAAUCUACUUUUUCGUGGGGGAUAACGUAGGGAAACUUACGCUAAUACCGCAUACGACCUACGGGUGAAAGCAGGGGAUCUUCGGACCUUGCGCGAUUGAAUGAGCCGAUGUCGGAUUAGCUAGUUGGCGGGGUAAAGGCCCACCAAGGCGACGAUCCGUAGCUGGUCUGAGAGGAUGAUCAGCCACACUGGAACUGAGACACGGUCCAGACUCCUACGGGAGGCAGAAGUGGGGAAUGUUGGACAAUGGGCGCAAGCCUGAUCCAGCCAUGCCGCGUGGGUGAAGAAGGCCUUCGGGUUGUAAAGCCCUUUUGUUGGGAAAGAAAAGCAGCAGGUUAAUACCCCGCUGUUCUGACGGUACCCAAAGAAUAAGCACCGGCUAACUUCGUG
rnacentral:rRNA from 1 species